GAUGAACGCUGACGGCGUGCCUAAAACAUGCAAGUCGAGCGAACGGACGAGAAGCUUGCUUCUCUGAUGUUAGCGGCGGACGGGUGAGUAACACGUGGAUAACCUACCUAUAAGACUGGGAUAACUUCGGGAAACCGGAGCUAAUACCGGAUAAUAUUUUGAACCGCAUGGUUCAAAAGUGAAAGACGGUCUUGCUGUCACUUAUAGAUGGAUCCGCGCUGCAUUAGCUAGUUGGUAAGGUAACGGCUUACCAAGGCAACGAUGCAUAGCCGACCUGAGAGGGUGAUCGGCCACACUGGAACUGAGACACGGUCCAGACUCCUACGGGAGGCAGCAGUAGGGAAUCUUCCGCAAUGGGCGAAAGCCUGACGGAGCAACGCCGCGUGAGUGAUGAAGGUCUUCGGAUCGUAAAACUCUGUUAUUAGGGAAGAACAUAUGUGUAAGUAACUGUGCACAUCUUGACGGUACCUAAUCAGAAAGCCACGGCUAACUACGUG
rnacentral:rRNA from 1 species